rnacentral:lncRNA from 1 species
CUGAGUCACUCUCAUUGGCUGAAUGUGAAGGACUUGUGCAUAGACUCAUAGAUAGAACUAGAAGAAAGCUUAGAGGUCAUCUGGUCAAAACAACUCACUUACAGGUGGCAGACCCAUUCUGCCUGAUGAUGCCAAUUGUGGAAUGGCAGAGGCUCUGAGAGAAUCCUGGGAUAAUGAAGAAAGAAGAGCAGCACACUCCGGCAUGGAAAUGAGGAGACUGACACCCAGUGAGAAUAAAAGACCUACCCAAUGCUACCCAGGCACCUUUCUGGCGGCGGCAAGCUGGUGGCAGCAUGCGGGGCCUUUCAGCAUCUUAGCAUGGCUACAAGUUUUGUCCGGUUCAGUGGCAGGAGAGGAAGGAAGCGCUUCCAUUGGGCUGCUGGACAGAGGAGCAGGUGAAGUGAAAAAUGUCCUCAGGCACAUGGAAAGAGGGAAGAGAGUAGCCCCUUCUGGCACACAUGCCAUAGGUUCGCCAACAUAGACCCAGCCUUCACCACUCUUCUGUGUUGGAAGCUAAUAUACAGUAUUGAUUCUAAGACAGAAGGUAAGAGUUCAAAGAAGAAAAAAGAAAACAAAAGAAAGAAACAAUGGGCAGGUUAAUUUUUUUAAAACUUGGAAGGAACUAAAUGGGACAAUGAACAGUGAAAUGAGUAGAACCAAGAGAAUGUCAUACAUAGCUAAUGAAUUAAUACUGGAAGAGUAAAUUGUGAAUGUUACCUACAGACAGUGAACCAAAAGGUGGAAACAUGAAAGACUUAAAUUGUAUGAAAAUGUCUGUUUUCCAGACAAUGCCUUCUGUGAUAUGGGAGAAUGGGAAGAGGCUGAAACAAUUGUGGAUAAAUUAAGAAUAAAGAAAAAAAUGGCAUUAUGGGGUAAUGGGAA